rnacentral:lncRNA from 1 species
GUUUCGCUGUCCUGUACCUGGAGCGGGCGGGGCAGCUGUCAGUGAAGCUCUACGGUAUGUGGGGGCCAGCCUCUGUGACCAGGCAGGCGCUCAAGCUCUGCACACUCACUGGGCCACCCCGAGGGGCUGGGUGAGCCCAUGGGGACACACUUCCUUUCUCCCAUCCUGAUCCUCCUGCUAAGCAGGGGCCCAGGGAGUAGUGACAGACAGGCCUGGUGUGGGAGCAGGGAGAGGGCCCCGAGGGGGCAGGGGACACACAGACCCCGUUUCCAGAGCCCUCCACGCCGCCUGGUGCCAGGACCCCAGGAACCCUGUCUGCCCUGCAGCCCGCUCGCUCCCUGUGAGCGACUCGGUCCUGAGUGGGUUUGAGCAGCGGGUCCAGGAGGCCCACCUGACUGAGGACCAGAUCUUCUACUUCCCCAAGUACGGCUUCUGCGAGGCUGCAGACCAGUUCCACGUCCUGGACGAAGUGAGGAGGUGAGGCCGGCACACAGCUCCAGUGCUGAGAAGUCAGUGCCCCGAGAGACGACCCCACCAGUGGGGUGCCCGCUGCCUGUCCUCCGUGAAACCAGCCUCAGAUCAGGGCCCUGCCACCCAGGGCAGGGGAUCUUCUGCCGGCUGCCCCAGAGGACAGUGGGUGGAGUGGUACCUACUUAUUAAAUGUCUC